rnacentral:rRNA from 1 species
UUCCGGUUGAUCCUGCCAGAGGUCACUGCUNUCGGGGUUCGAUUAAGCCAUGCGAGUCGAGAGGGUUCGGCCCUCGGCGUACUGCUCAGUAACACGUGGAUAACCUGCCCUAGGGGAGGGGAUAACCCCGGGAAACUGGGGAUAAUACCCUAUAGGUUACAGAUGCUGGAAUGCCCUGUAACCAAAAGCUCCGGCGCCCUAGGAUGGAUCUGCGGCCGAUUAGGUUGUUGUUGGGGUAACGGCCCAACAAGCCCGUAAUCGGUACGGGUUGUGGGAGCAAGAGCCCGGAGUUGGAUUCUGAGACACGAAUCCAGGCCCUACGGGGCGCAGCAGGCGCGAAACCUUUACAAUGCGGGCAACCGUGAUAAGGGAACCUCGAGUGCCUGUAAACGCAGGCUGUUCAGGUGUUUAAAACGCACCUGGAGAAAGGGCCGGGCAAGACCGGUGCCAGCCGCCGCGGUAAUACCGGCGGCUCGAGUGGUGGCCGCUUUUAUUGGGCUUAAAGCGUUCGUAGCUGGGUUGUUAAGUCUCUUGGGAAAUCUGGCGGCUUAACCGUCAGGCGUCUAAGGGAUACUGGCAAUCUUGGAACCGGGAGAGGUGAGGGGUACUUCGGGGGUAGGGGUGAAAUCCUGUAAUCCUCGAGGGACCACCUGUGGCGAAGGCGCCUCACCAGAACGGCUUCGACAGUGAGGGACGAAAGCUGGGGGAGCAAACCGGAUUAGAUACCCGGGUAGUCCCAGCCGUAAACGAUGCGCGUUAGGUGUAUCGGUGACCACGAGUUACCGAGGUGCCGAAAGGAA